GCCUAGUGGCUCUAGUGGUCAGGGAGUGGUACUUAUAAGACAGUGACCUGCAGAGCAAUGCUGUGGUUGUGAGUUUGAGCCUCAUCUGGAGCA